UGGGUAGGUUCAUAACCAGUUGUUUCUCUAAACAACUUCUUGUAAUAAAUUUUGCCCCAGAACCUAAUCAGUAGGCUUUGGCCUCUACUGAAAAGAUCUGGUUAGGUCCAACCAUUAACAUGACUUGAUUUGGUGAAUCGGAUCAAUAAAUGAUUAGGUCCGACUUUGACCGAUCAACCUGACCACCAUCAGAAAGACUCAACCAAAUUAUCAUACUAUGAAUGAUAAUUCCAUUAGUCAAUAAGCACCAGGCCUUUGGGCCUCUAGUGAUUAUUAAACUAAUGGACUCAUUAUCACUCACUUAAUGGGAGGCUAUGACUUAGUUAUCACUAUAACUUAAUCAUUUUAGGGAUCUAAUAAUUUUUGAGGAUUUUAUUAAAGGAUAGAAGAGAAGAAAUUAACCAGCCAAUU
rnacentral:lncRNA from 1 species